UUGGAGUAGGAAAUGUGUAACAAUAGUGUAGGGAUUGUAGUGUAGCAAUCGUGUAGAAAGUGUUACUUAGCAAUGUGUCUGUGUUGUGUCGGGAUUGUUGCGUCGCAAGCGUUGUGAGGCAAUUGUUGUGUAACAAAAGUGUGUCUUAACUUUGUUCAAAUGAAUGACCAGUCGCCUCAGUGCAACACUUGGAAUAAGAUUAUAUUGUGCAAAGGAGGCUUUCCCGAUGUGUAGCGUCCGACGCGCUCCGAGCCUCACCCUACACCGCGUGGAGCGAAGUCAAGUCAACUCUCAGUCAACUGGGAGACCAAACCAUUGAAAUAUAUAUACAAAGUCAUCGAAGCGCAUAUGGAAUCGAAGAUCUGAAGUGUGUUGUUGGUGUUUUCCUUCUUCAGCCAAGUCGGGAUGGGGUGAGCGGGCGCGCACGGUGACUGGGUGCGGCCCGCGCUUGCUAACGUUAGCAUUCCGACGCCAGGAAGCUUUGCUGCUGUUGUCAGUAGAAACACUUUUGAGAGAAAAACAUUUGCCCAAGUUAAACAAGCCCAUCUUCUUUGAGCAUCGUCACUGUGGAAACAAGGCUGGAACGAGCGUCACCAUGGAAACCAGGUGAGCGCAAGCGAGUAGUAGCAGUAGUAGAGCACAACAACUAAACAAAGUAGGCGGUCGAAAAGCAAGCGCAGGGAACAUUUAUUUCCAAACUUUAUUUUUGGACUUAUACACUUCAGUCUGAUUGAUGUCGAAUGGAAGCCUUUAAACAUAAAUUUAAAUAUCAUUUAACAAAACAAAACAAAACAAAACAAAAAAACAUUUACAUCCGAAGUCUUUUGUUUGAUGUUAGUUUGUGCACAUUUCUCUUUUGGAAUCUUAUCUUUGUUUAAUUAGUGGUAUAGGCAGCAAAGUUUGUUACUUAAAAAUCAAAAUCAAAAAGCAAUUAGCACCAAAACUGAUUUUCGUAUUUUUUUUCCUUAAAGUUAGCGAUGAGCACCAAAGAAGCGACCGGUCGCGUGGCGCCUCCGCUGGCGGGCGGAGCUUAGAUGAGGAGCUCGUUGUCCACAUCCUCUGGAAAGACACAAAACAUGAGCACGUCAA